rnacentral:rRNA from 1 species
UACAGAGGUCUCAAGCGUUGUUCGGAUUCAUUGGGCGUAAGGGUGCGUAGGCGGCGCGGUAAGUCGGGUGUGAAAUCUUGGAGCUUAACUCCGAACUGCAUUCGAUACUGCCGUGCUUGAGGACUGGAGAGGAGACGUGGAAUUACGGUGUAGCGGUGAAAUGCGUAGAUAUCGUAAGGAAGACCAGUCGGCGAAGGCGG